rnacentral:sRNA from 19 species
GUCAACUACUAAAUGGUGUGAGCUUGUAAAAACUCGGUUGAUUAGACUAAGUAUAUUUAUAUACUUCGUUAUUUUAGUUAUCAUUCCCUAGACUAUUUAUCCUGGUUCUAGGCUCUGUA